GACGAACGCUGGCGGCGUGCUUAACACAUGCAAGUCGAACGGAAAGGCCCUGCUUUCAGGGUGCUCGAGUGGCGAACGGGCGAGUAACAUGUGGGUGAUCUGCCCCUUACUUUGGGAUAAGCCUGGUAAACUGGGUCUAAUACUGGACAGGACCAUGCUGUCGGUUGUGUGGUGGGAAGCUCAGUUUCGCUCAGGGAUGAGCUCGCGGCCUAUCAGCUUGUUGGUGUGGUGAUGGCCUACCAAGGCGUCGACGGGGACCCGGCCUGAGAGGGCGGACGGCCACAAUGGGACUGUGAUGCGAACCAGGCUACUGCGUGGGGCAGCCGGGGCGAAGAUUGCACAAUGCGCGCAAGCUCGAUGCAGCGUGGCUCCGGGGGGCACGGUGGGCUUCUGGAAGUAUAGUCCUGGCUGUCACAUCGAAGCCGUUGCGAUGACUGUAGUGGUAGUGGAAGCACCGGCCAAUUCCGU
rnacentral:rRNA from 1 species